GCUGGGUGUGGUGGCUUGCGCCUGUAAUCCCAGCACUUUGGGAGGCUGAGGCGGGGGGAUCACCUGAGGUCAGGAGUUCAAGACCAGCCUGACCAACAUGGUGAAACCCCAUCUCUA
ensembl:misc_RNA Metazoa_SRP Metazoan signal recognition particle RNA